UGCACAUGGAGAAAAGAAACAAAUUAGCACUUGUUUCUUUCAACGCUUGUUGGCAAGCGUGUCUGUUCUUUGAUAGAUUUGUCUGCGGUUCAAGAACUAGAAGAGGCUGGAAGAUACUUGUAUCCAUGUCCGCAAGUUCUGCCAAAAAAACGACUAAGAUAUGAGAAUAGAAAAAUAUUAAUCCAUUAAAUGUCAAGAUAAUUAAAAAAAAAAUGAAGGGUACAAGAUUAUCGAAAUGUUUUUAUAUUUAUUAAUACGAAAACGAACAUGGGGGA
rnacentral:lncRNA from 1 species